rnacentral:ncRNA from 2 species
CAGCCACGCUGGGGGUGGCGCUUCAAAACGCAAGCGCCUGAGACAGUCCCCUCGAACCUGAUCCGGUUCGCACCGGCGGAGGAAAGCGCAUGCCCGACACA